rnacentral:miRNA from 1 species
UUCCGCUGGAUGUCCAUGU